UACGAAGGGGGCUAGCGUUGUUCGGAAUUACUGGGCGUAAAGAGUUCGUAGGCGGUUUAUUAAGCUAGAUGUGAAAUCCCCGGGCUUAACUCGGGAACUGCAUUUAGAACUGGUAAGCUAGAGAGUGUUAGAGGUUGGUAGAAUUCCUAGUGUAGGGGUGAAAUCCGUAGAUAUUAGGAGGAAUACCGAUGGCGAAGGCAGCCAACUGGGACAUUUCUGACGCUGAGGAACGAAAGCGUGGGUAGCAAACAGG
rnacentral:rRNA from 1 species